rnacentral:rRNA from 1 species
CGCGGCCUAUCAGCUUGUUGGUGGGGUAAUGGCCCACCAAGGCGACGACGGGUAGCCGGCCUGAGAGGGCGACCGGCCACACUGGGACUGAGACACGGCCCAGACUCCUACGGGAGGCAGCAGUGGGGAAUAUUGCGCAAUGGGCGAAAGCCUGACGCAGCGACGCCGCGUGAGGGAUGAAGGCCUUCGGGUCGUAAACCUCUUUCAGCAGGGAAGAAGCGAGAGUGACGGUACCUGCAGAAGAAGCACCGGCUAACUACGUGCCAGCAGCCGCGGUAAUACGUAGGGUGCAAGCGUUGUCCGGAAUUAUUGGGCGUAAAGAGCUCGUAGGCGGUCUGUCGCGUCUGCUGUGAAAACUCAGGGCUUAACCCUGAGCUUGCAGUGGGUACGGGCAGACUAGAGUGCGGUAGGGGAGACUGGAAUUCCUGGUGUAGCGGUGAAAUGCGCAGAUAUCAGGAGGAACACCGGUGGCGAAGGCGGGUCUCUGGGCCGUAACUGACGCUGAGGAGCGAAAGCAUGGGGAGCGAACAGGAUUAGAUACCCUGGUAGUCCAUGCCGUAAACGUUGGGCGCUAGGUGUGGGGCUCUUUCCACGAGUUCCGUGCCGCAGCUAACGCAUUAAGCGCCCCGCC